rnacentral:rRNA from 1 species
UACGGAGGGUGCAAGCGUUAUCCGGAUUCACUGGGUUUAAAGGGUGCGUAGGCGGGCAGUUAAGUCAGUGGUGAAAUCCUUGAGCUCAACUCGAGAACUGCCAUUGAUACUAUCUGUCUUGAAUAUUGUGGAGGUAAGCGGAAUAUGUCAUGUAGCGGUGAAAUGCUUAGAUAUGACAUAGAACACCUAUUGCGAAGGCAGCUUACUACGCAUAUAUUGACGCCGAGGCACGAAAGCGUGGGGAUCAAACAGG